UCUGGAUAAGGGAAGGCUUGGAGACCAUUUCUAGGUGGGACUUGGGGAGUUUAGUUGGUGUGACUUGGGGACCAUUAAUUAGUAGGUGUGACUUGGGGACCAUUAAUUAGUAGGUGUGACUUGGGGACCAUUAAUUUGUAGGUGUGACUUGGGGACCAUUAAUUAGUAGGUGUGACUUGGGGACCAUUAAUUAGUAGGUGUGACUUGGAGACCAUUGGUAGGUGGGAAUUGGGGACCAUUAGCAGGUGGGACAGGGACAUGACGGACAGUUGGUAGG